GGGCCUUUUCUCCUCACCAUGGGAGGACAGAGCAAGAAGGCAGCCAUCUGCAAGCCAGGAGGACCCUCAGAACUCAACCACACUGGCAUCCCAAUCCUGGACAUCCAGCCUCCAGAAGUUGAACUUCUGCAAUGAACUGGACAGCUACCUGGGAAAGAUGAUGAAGAUACAAGAUGGAAACAACAUGGAUCCUGGAAUUACCAUCGGGAAGCAGGUGCCCAUCAGUGAGGCCCAACUGCCUUGGCCUCUCCAUGAGUUAAAGAGUACCUAAAAGGGAACCCAAGUGACCAGUGGAAUUUGAAAAAGAAGAACAAGUUUGAAGAACUCACACUUUCCAAUAUCAAAACUUAAUAUAAGCCUAUAAUAAUCUAAAUGGUGUGGUACCAGCAUAAAGAAGGACAUGUGAUUCAAUAGAAAAC
ensembl:lncRNA